ensembl:lncRNA LINC01504 long intergenic non-protein coding RNA 1504
AGUGCUGGCCAGCUCACGCCUGACCCACCCUUAUUCUAAGCAUAGGGUCUGCCUCUGAAGAGCUAAAGACUUCCUGAAAUUUAAAAAUUAGUGCUUUUAUUUGCUUGUCCUGCUAAGACCGUAGGCAAAGGCCAUCCUCCUCCCAUUGACAGUUUAGAGUGGAUGAAGGAACGAGGGCACAGAGAGAUUCGAGUUGUCACCCAAGCUCACAUAGCACCAGUGACAGAGAUGAAGAAACUGACAUCUGGAGAAGUUGAAGUAAUUUGCACAAAGAUUCACUUGGCUAACGGAGUUUUGCUCUGUCACCCAGGCUGGAGUGCAAUGGCCCGAUCUCGCCUCACUGCAACCUCCACCUCCCGAGUUCAAGAGAUUCUCCUGCCUCAGCCUCCCAGGCUGGCACUGUGCCUCACAUCUGCAAUCCCAGCAUUUUGGGAGGCCAAGGCGGGCAGAUCACUUGAGGUCAGGAGUUCGAGACCAGCCUGGGCAACAUGGGGCUGGGAAGUUCAAGAUCCAGGCCUCAGAAGAUUUGGGGUUUGGUGAGGGCCAUCUUCUCACUGUAGCCUUACAUGGUGGAAGAGCCACAACAACUGGAUUCUCUUUUCUGAUUUUUGCUGCAGCUUCUGCUUUGUAAUCAUACGGACAGUUGUGCUUGUCAGAGUAACGGUGAAGUCCACAAAACAAAUUUCCACAUCGGCAGUCAAACCCUGUACAAACGAAGAAGUAGAGUCAUUUGAGAACUUGAGGCAAUUAAAAGAAAAAAAAGCCUUAGUCACUAUAGAAAAGGAACCAGAUUUUCAUUGCUUUGUAACAUAAAAGACAGUGAACUCUUUUCUUCCACUUCCUGGUGAUAAGACACAGUCAACUCUUACAGAGUCUAUCACGUUAACCUGGAAAAGGAACUUUUAACUUCCUUUGACAUGGUGAGAAAUUCAAAUAACUAUGUUCAGUCUUUCCUUGCAAGGGCAAUAGCGAAGUGUUUGGUAAGCCAAACCACGUGGAGAAAACAAAAUGGGCUAUCUGCCAGCUAAUUUCUCCCAGAUGCUCUCCCUCUAUCGACUCCUGUAGAUGCAACGCAGGAUAAAAUUUACACAGGCUCUGGAGUUAGGCUAAGCUGGAUUCAAAACACAGUCCUACCAUAUCUUAAGUAAUGCUUCCUCAAGUGAAAACAACCAUCAAGGUCUGAGAUUUGAAGGAGACAAGAAAAAAAGCACCAAGAACAUUCCCUGCAUAGCUCAAAGUAGGUGGCGCUUACUGUUAGUUCAGUAACAUUUUCCCUAGGUAUACAAAAACUUUUUAUCAAUCUAAUAAAAUAAGAGGGCCUGAG